rnacentral:lncRNA from 1 species
GGGACCUUCACCUUUGUAAGGAGACAUGUGCAUUAUUCUGAAUAAUACUAUCUCUCUAUUCUCUCUCUCUACUGUUAUCAAGUAAACUUCUCUCUAUCUCUCUCUUUGAUGCUUAAGCUCUCUACUGUCCUCAAUAUUUCAGAUCUAUUAUUUUUUUGACUAAGUAGUCUCUUCUAGGGCUGAUUAUACUUGAUUACUAUUUACCCAAAUACUUUUUUGUUUGUUUUCAAGCUUACAAAGUGUAUGUAUCUUUUGAGAAAAAUAAUUUGGCGCCGUUUGUGGGGAUUUCGAGAAUCAAAGUUAUAGUUUGUGCCAAGAAAACCACUGACAACCAUCCCCUACAUCGCACGAGCAAACAUGGCUGACAACUGUGCAAAAAAGAAAGCGAUAGACGAGGUUGGGGUCAACCUCAUGGAUUCACUCAACGAGGUAGGUGAAGAUAAUAUCUUGAACACAACCCCCAGCACCACGAUGAGUGGAGGAACCCCACCUCCCUCAUGGAUUCUCUCAACGAAGCAGGUGGAGAAACGUCUUGAACGCAAACCCCAGCAACACGAUGAGUGGAGGAACUCCACCUGCUCCACCCAGGGAUCUGACGGAUCCGCGAGAAAGGGGAGCUUCAACAUCUACAUCUAAGGAAACACCCCCAGAAGUUAAGGAGCUACUGAAAGAGUGGCUCAUAAGCACUCUUAGUGACUUGGUCAAAAAGUCACUGUUGCACCUCCUUUUGGCCCGCCUACCCCGAGGGGUAAACACAUAAGGGUGUUUUUCCAAUUUAAGGGACAAUAUUCGAAAAUGGGAUUAUUUAUUUAUAGAGUCGCCACUUGGGAAAGGUUUGGCUUUUGGUGUCCCAAGUCACCGAUUUAUCUUGAAUCCCAAAUCGAGGAAAUUUUUGACUUUCCAAGUGAAGUCUGCGAACCAGAAACUCUAAUUAAGAUAUUUUGUUGAUCCAAGGGAAGGUGUUAGGCUCCCCUGGAUCCCGUGGUUCUAGCAUGAUCGUUUAAAUUGUUGUAAAUGACUAAAUAUCUGAUUUUAAUACAUGUUAUAACUUAUGUGCUUUUAUUAAACUUUUGACCGCUUUUAUUCAAAUUGUUAAAGAAAAUUGAACAUCGUUUAAAUAUGUCUUUGGAUUACGUCACAUAAAAUGCACUCAAUCCUGAACAUAUCUGAUUCGACGUUUUGUGAUUUGGAUUUGGGUCGCAUGAAAUGCACACCCGAAUUUAAGAAAGUAGGAUCAUUAAACACGUGCGUAAAGAGCCUAUCGCAUUAUUAUUUUUGGGAAAGGCCGUUAAAUUUGCUUAACGGCUCAUCCUAAAGUCUAAAUAGUUAAAAUAUACAAUUAUUGAGGGCCCCACAGCUCACAUAUUUUUAUUUGGCGAGGUGAGGCGGAUUUAUUUUGUUCAAGGAUGUCUUAAAGCGACUAUUCUCUAUUUAUUCUUGUCUCUAAAGAUAAAGAAAAUGUCCUAAUUAUACAAUAUUUAUAAAUUCGAGACUCGAAUUCAAGUCCGAAUUCAAACAAAAAGGGGGGACCCUAUUAAUAUGAAUCCGCUAACUAACUCGAAACCCAAACUCAUAUUUGUUACACUAUGUAUUCUUAUUCAACAAUUAAACUCAAAUAGGGCCUCAAACAGAUACCCGGAGGCCCGAAGUUAUCAAAUAGAUUUAUUCGAUGGGAAAGUAACAAUCAUUCAAAUUGACGCCCAGUUUGUUAAUCGGUUGCAAAUAAAACUGAAACUGAUUUUUUUAUUCAAACCGUUAUGCCAGAAAUUUAAGACCUCAUUGAACCUAAUUAUUUCACUACAAUCCAAAGAGAGAAGUUUGAAGCAUAAUCUGAUCGGAUUUGAUUUUUUACCCCCUAAAGCUUAGGCUUCCUCAUGUCUUAAUCUGCUGGUGGAUUACUAUAUUACUACUGAAGAUGACAACUAAAUUGGAAACAUGAUUUGCAUAAAACAACUAGAUUAUAUGGCUUCGUUUAAUACUAUGUACGAACUUGUUGUACACUAUUUCCAGAUUGUUCCUAACAAACGUUAACCACUUGCGUGACUCACUUUUUCAUAACAGACUAUUGAAUAACAGGUUGAUACAUGAAACCGGUUGAACUUAUUUUAGAACUAUUGGGAUAAAUCUGAAAGCUACAAUCUAUAUAGUCCAUUAUACAUUCAAUCACUUAAACAAAUAGUCCUAAUUAUAGUUUAAACCAUUACUAUCAACUAUAAGGCGAAUACAAUACGUGAUGAAUUUCCCGUGAAGCCGGGCUUCCAUUUUUCAUUUUUAGUUCUGCAACUUUACGUAAAUACUGAUGUUCAAAAAUAUGUUCCUCGAUUGGAAAGCAGAACAGAAGAAGAAAGAUCAGUCAGCAGUAGAUAACACAGCAACAACAGUAGUAACAGAGCAGUAGUACCAAACAACUCAGACUUAAAAUCAGCAGUAAAACUCCAACAGCAAAAGAGUAAUGAAAAUAACCAACACCAGUACCAGAUUGACCAAAGUAUAACCCCAGCAGACCCAACAGAAUCAAAGUAACAAACACUCAGAUCCAAACAAUAACAACACCAGUUCCCAAACCAGCAAUUCACUCAAGCAGAUGAACCUAAGGUUUGGAAAUGUUUGCCUCUAAACUCUCAACACUCUCACAGACUGAUUAAAGAACCAAAUGCAGAAAACUAAGAGGACUGGUUGUUUUUUUAAAGAUUCCUAAUAUUCUUUAUGUUUUUUACCUCUGAAAAUGAUCUUCAAAAACCAACUAAUUUCUAUCAAUCUGAACUUUAAUCUUCAAAAUUCAGUCCCCCUCUAGUCCUAAACGACCCCUAUUUUAUACCAAAGGCCGUCCCUUUUUUCAGCUCCUUUUUCUUUACUUUUACUAUUACCCUUUUAUUAUUACCCUCUACUUCUUUCUUGCUUUCUAGCUACUAUAUUCCUCUACUAUGUGUAUCUUUUAGCUUUUCAUUAUUAAUCUACUAUUUCUAAUAUUCAAUUAGUAAAAGGUGCCUAAAAGUUGUCCCCUCCACAACUGAUCCCCCUUUUUAAUUAAAUUAUUCAGUAGUUCAGUGGCCCUCUGAACAUUCAAGCUGGCAGACCAUUCAAACUGACCAUUUUCUUCAAGUUUUUGACAUCCCAAACUGCCCUCCUAAAGUUACUGAAACUACUGACCCAUAAGCUACAACUAAUCCUCCUAAUCAGCUAUAACCAGCUCCUAAUCAAGUUCGAACAAUAAUUCAAAGUCGGAGCUCUGAUUCAAUCUGAAAUGGCACCUAACAUAAAGACUAAAGGUUCAGGGCAUCACAUACUGAGCUAUCUAUAUUGGUGAGCCAAUCAUAUUCAACUCAGAGACAAGUAAAUUGAAACCAACUACAUUAAACAUACACCUCAUUGAAUUGGAAAACCAAAAAAGAAACAACCAGAAGAAGUUUUAUAGGGGAAUGACAGGAAAAUGAUAACAAAUGAUCAAUCAAUUCAUUUUGAAGACGAACUAAAUAUACAAAAAGGCUUAUUUCAAAGUUCACACGCCAGCAGGCUUAUUGCGAUAUGAAAAUUGGAACAAAAACGAGAAGGGGAUGAAGCAUACUGGAAGGAACAACUAAACUACAAUCAUGUUUAAACUAACACUUAAACCACGGGCUAAUCGAUGAAGCUUGUUCAAUCAUUUAAACAAUUUAUACAUGUAAUCCAUAAUAAUAGAAACAAUGACAAAAUUGGACCAAAUAAAAGGUCUGAUGAAGAAGGAAAGAAAAUCGGCAAUAGAAAAAUUCCAACUCAUCUUUAAACAGACAAACAACAAUAAAAAUGGAAAAAUGAGGAGAAAAAAUAGAAGAAAUACCUUAGAAAUUAGAAACCAAAUGGACUCCGCCUAAAACUUUUGACUCGAACCUUUUGGGGUCAAAUGGACCUUAAUAUAGUGUUCUCUACACAGAACACUUCGACUAAGGUUGAUUAAACACCCAAGUUUCCCCCGUUUUUGGACAAAUUCCAGCUUGGUCAUAUUUUAGGGUUUUUGGUUCAUUUUGGGAUUCGAACGAGUCCAACGUGAUUCGAAGGGAACCAGUGUUGAUUCAGGGAUGAGGGAGGUCUAGUGGUUGUGUGGUGUUAAUUAGGGGUGGAUUGGGCGGGUUCAUGGUCUGCUCGAAUCUUCGAUUGAAGAUUCGAGAAGAUGUGGGGUGAUUCGAGGCAAACAAUUCAUGGAUUCGUGUUGUGGAUGGGGAGAUGGCUUGGGAGUGUCAAUUUGGUCGUCGGAGGCGUCGUUACUGCCGGGUUUCUGAUGGAAUCACUGGGUGGUGGCUAGGGUUUGUAAGGUGGAGUUCGUCUCUGAGAGAGACGAAGAUAUGGGUGUUUUGUUUUGGG